rnacentral:rRNA from 1 species
GACGAACGCUGGCGGCGUGCUUAACACAUGCAAGUCGAGCGGUAAGGCCCCUUCGGGGGUACACGAGCGGCGAACGGGUGAGUAACACGUGAGCAACCUACCCUUCACUUCGGGAUAAGCCUCGGAAACGGGGUCUAAUACCGGAUAUCACUUCGGGUUUCAUGACCUGGGGUUGAAAGUUCUGGCGGUGGGGGAUGGGCUCGCGGCCUAUCAGCUUGUUGGUGGGGUAAUGGCCUACCAAGGCGUCGACGGGUAGCCGGCCUGAGAGGGCGACCGGCCACACUGGGACUGAGACACGGCCCAGACUCCUACGGGAGGCAGCAGUGGGGAAUAUUGCGCAAUGGACGAAAGUCUGACGCAGCAACGCCGCGUGAGGGAUGACGGCCUUCGGGUUGUAAACCUCUUUCAGCAGGGACGAAGCGAGAGUGACGGUACCUGCAGAAGAAGGACCGGCCAACUACGUG